ACGCUUUGCAGUUGUAGACUUCUAUGUUUUUGUUAUUUUUCUUUCUUGAAGGACCUUAGGCCUAUGAUUUCCUCUUAGGUCUUUUAUCUACUUCUCUAGUGAAGCCAGUGCCUUCAUGAUAACCAUCAUCAUUAUUAGUAGUAUGUGGAUUACCAUAUAUAUUCUCAAAUAGCAUAGGGCUGACAUCUCUUGUCCCUAGCUCAGUGGAUGAAUUCGUCUUAGAUGACAUAUAAAAACUUGAGAAACAUAGAUUGUUGUCAUGAUUUUUUUACUGGACCAUCUUUGUAAAGCAACCUUUCCUUUAUCCUGGCAGUAAAUUCUAUAAUCCCUUUUACCCUUGACUGAGUUUUGUGUGUUGAGGCUUCUCUGUUCUUUUAUCACAACUGCUGGAUGUGGAAGAUGCCUUUUUAUUGGAACAUCUUUGUAACGCAACUUUUCCUCUUAUCCUGGCCGUAAAUUCUACGAUCGAACAAUUCAAUUAAUACUGAUUAUGUGGAUUAAUGAGACAAUAAGAAAGGUGACUCCAAUUAGUAAAUAUAUAUAAGAUAUAAGAUUGCAGUUUUAAGUGUGAACUCAAGCGGCCUAUCCAAAUUUAUGAAAACAAGAUGAGUGGUGCUGGGAAAAAUGUAUAUUCACUUUCUUGUACAAAUGUAAUGGACCAACAUUUGCAUCAUCAGAACAAAAAAAAUCAACUUCUUCAAGAGGUACCUGUACAUAAGACCAACUCAUAAGCAUAUCUUUUAUGUCACAUAAGAUAUCUUGAUUAGCAAUGCUGACCAUAAAAGUGUAUCAUUCCUAAAGAGAGAUUUCCCGAGUAGUCAAAGUCCAAGUAUAGUAUGUCGGUAAUAGUAAGGAUUCGUACUACUAAUUUGAUUGUACAGUAAGUGUCAUAUGGUGCCAGCUAAAAAAAGGAUGGAUACCCCUAACAUAGAGGGUGUUGUGAACUAAUGCCUUAAAUAACAUAGAGCUUACCAAUAGAAUUUUUUUAAAUAUUUCUUAAUUUUUUCAUGAUAUUUAAAAUUUUUCCACAAGUUUAAAUUGUGUUCCUUGCAUUUUUUAUCAAAACAUGAAAUGUAAAAAUUUAGUUUGCAUAAUAUUUCAUGAAAUUCCUGACGUACCAUUAAAAAUGUUAUUCGCAUAAUUGUACAAAAACUUUAUAAUUUGAAAAAAUGUUUAUGAAAUAUUUAGAUUUUCCACACCUUUAAAAAACCCUCUUCCCAUUCUUUAAGAAAACAUGAAUUAAAUGUAAAAGUUUGUCAGCGUAAAUAUUCGAUCUCACAUAUAUUCAACCCUAUAUGCACUCGGAUGAAACCCUAGCCGCACUCCACUCCACUCUACUCCCCUCCACUUCCCUCCACCCACAAGCUUAUUAUUUCCUGCGAUCUCUAUCCGUCUUCGACAUGGCGGGUAGCUCAUAUGAGUCUUACACCUCCCAAUCCUUGACUAUUGGGAAGUCGUCCCACGAGACCCCGAGGAGGAGAUGUCCGUCUGUGUUGCGCUCCGCCACUCAUGGGAGGAGUCCGCCCGACAACAAUCGGACUCGAUCCAGCGGGAAUCCAUUCCGUCUGUCCAAAUGAUGCAUGGAUCUGGCGCGAGGUGCUUCGUCGUUGCCUCGUGGGCGGUAGUGCAGUCCAUGUAUUAAUCGAACACCUUGGCGGAGAUGCUUAUCAAUUUAGAACCAACUUAAAAUUUCUAUAAACAGAAGGUUCGGUGGAAUGCGUGCUAGGUGUGAUAGUUUCUUCUUCUUUAGAAACAAGAUGUGUUAGUUUAGGGGGUUAAAUAUUAUUGGUUGCCUUAAUUUUGUAGUAGUGAGCCUCAAUGCGCAUAUUGCAGGCGCAAACCAGAACAUGCGCUCUUGCCUUGUCUGUGUGCACCGCGCUUGGUCUCGCCUCAAAAUAAAAAUAAAGAAAAUGUUAGCUAAGCGACAAAGAUGGCAGCGGUGGCGGCCCGUUAGGUGGUGGAGAAGGCGCAUCACGUCGGAGGAUGGUCCAAGGAAUGGGCGCACAUCGACGUACGUCCGGGCGUCGGUACAGCAGCCGGGCCUAGGGAUGCAGUAGGCAACCACAGCAAGCGGCAAACCCAUUCCUUCUCAGUUCGUGUGCUCGUCUUUUGAACUACAACAUGCGGUUAAUUUGGUUUCCUCUAUCAAACUGUACUUGUUCAUUCCCCUAAAAAAACACUAUACUUAUUCAUAUACUUACAAAAUUGGGACAACAUAGCUCGCUGAAACCAUUUCUUAAAUGAUGCAACCAUAAGAAUGUACAACCAAAAUGUUCAACAAUUCUUUUUUUAUUAAGGUCAGAGCCCAUGAUGAUGUCUGGUCAAAAUGUAAGAAUCUUGACAAAAAUAUCAACACAAAAGUAGAUCCAGGCGAUACAUGGUUCACAUGUCAAAUAUUCCAGUUCCUAUAUUUCGAAAUGUGUGGAGAACAUAUAUGAAUUUUAUAUUAUCGUGAAAUGUGUUUUCGAUAGUUUAGAUGAAGUGGCAGAUACGGAAUUUCGAUACCAUGAAGGCCUAGGUUAGUAAGAAAAUGUUUACAUAGUUCAGAAAAUAAGUUCAUGGCAUUUAUUAGAAAUUGUUUAUCAAAUGUAAAAUUUCAUUCACAUAACAAUAUCAAAAAUAUUUUAUUCAAUUUGUUUUGGUGAAAUUUAGAAAAUGUCCACACAUUUGAAAAAUGUUCCUCUCACUUACUAAAAAACAAGAAAUGUAAAAAUAUUCAGAGCGUAAUAUUUGAAUAAGUUCCUACCAUUAAAAAUCAGUAUAUUUAAAAAUAGUGAACAUUUUAAUAAAUAUGUCCAUGAAGUUAGUAUGAUGGCCUCCUUCUGAUAGAGGUUGGUUUGUUUGUGCAUGUAGUUCCUUUUUAUGGACAUAUUUUCUCUCACAAGUUGACUGGGUAUUCUUCUCCCUGGGAGGCUUUGCAAUUGUAGACUUCUGUGUUUUUUGUUAUUUUUCUUUCUUUAAGGACCUUAGGCCUAUGAUUUCCUCUUAGGUUUUUUUAGCUGCUUUUCUAGUGAAGCCAGUUCCUUCAUGAUAACCAUCAUCAUUAUUAGUAGUAUGUGGAUUACCAUAUAGAAUCUCGGAUAGCAUAGGGGUGACAUCUCUGGUCCCCAGCUCAAUGGAUGUAUUCAUCUUAGAUGACAGAUAAAAACUUGAGAAACAUAGAUUGUUGCCAUGAUUUUUUUACUGGACCAUCUUUGUAAAGCAACCUUUCCUUUAUCCUGGCAAUAAAUUCUAUAAUCCCUAUUUCCCUUGACUGAGUUUAUGCGUGGAGGCUUCUCUGUUCUUUUUUUCAAAACUGCUGGGUGUGGAAGAUGCUUUUUUAUUGGACCAUCUUUGUAACACAACUUUUACUCUUGUCCUGGCUGUAAGUUAUACGAUCGAACAAUUCAAUUAAUAUUGAUGAUUUGGAUUAAUGAGACAAUGAGAAAGGUGCCUCCAAUUAGUGAAUAUAUAUAAGAUAUAAGAUUGUAGUUUUAAGUGUGAACUCAGGCAGCCUAUCCAGAAUUAUCAAAACAAGAUGGGUGGUGCUGGGAAAAAUGUAUAUUCACUUUGUUGUACAAAUGUAAUGGAAUAGCAUUUGCAUCAUUAGAACAAAAAAAUCAACUUCCUGAAGAGGUACCAGUACAUAAGACCAGCUCAUAAGCAUAUCUUUUAUGUCACAUAGCAUAUCUUGAUUACCAAUGUUGACCAUACAAAUGUAUCAUUGCUAAAGAGAUUUCCCGAGUAGUCAAAGUCCAAGUAUAGUAUGUCGGUAAUAGUAAGGAUUUGUACUACUAAUUUGAUUGUACAGUAAGUGUCAUAUGGUGACAGCUAAAAAAAGGAUGGGUACACCUAGCAAAAAGGGUGUUUUGAACUAAUGCCUUAAAUAACAUAGAGC
rnacentral:lncRNA from 1 species